GUGUAAGACAUCCUUUCCUUCGUCUUCUGCCAUGAUUGUGAGGCAUCCCCAGCCAUGUGGAACUACAGCCCUGAGCGACACAGACAAGAGGAUUCUUGGAAGGGGCCUAACCGAACUGCAGCCACCGAGGCAUUACCAGUGUGGUUGAGAAGAUGGGUUUUGGAGGAGUGAAACAGAGAUCAAAGGGGAGCUUGUAUUCCCCCCAGCAAAAGAAAAAGACCAUGUAGGAGAUGAAGAUGCCUAGGAUCCCUUUCAAAUCAUCAAACAACAGAGAUUUCUCAAAGAACUAAGAGUGGCACUCCCAUUCAACCCAGUAAUCUCAUUACUGGAUAUAUACCCAAAGGAAAAUAAAUCAUUCUACCAAAAAGACACAUAUAUACACAUGUUCAUGGCAGCACUAUUCACAAUACCAAAGAUAUGGAGUCAACCCAAGGUGCCCAUCAACAGUGGAUUGGAUAAAGAAAAUGUGAUGUGGUACAUAUAGAUCAUGGAAUACUAUGCGGCAAUA